rnacentral:pre_miRNA from 1 species
UUGGUACUUGGAGAGAGGUGGUCCGUGGCGCGUUCGCUUUAUUUAUGGCGCACAUUACACGGUCGACCUCUUUUCAGUAUCUAAUC